AACGAACGCUGGCGGCAUGCCUAACACAUGCAAGUCGAACGAGACCUUCGGGUCUAGUGGCGCACGGGUGCGUAACGCGUGGGAACCUGCCCUUAGGUUCGGAAUAACUCCCCGAAAGGGGUGCUAAUACCGGAUAAUGUCUUCGGACCAAAGAUUUAUCGCCUUUGGAUGGGCCCGCGUUGGAUUAGCUAGUUGGUAGGGUAAAAGCCUACCAAGGCGACGAUCCAUAGCUGGUCUGAGAGGAUGAUCAGCCACACUGGGACUGAGACACGGCCCAGACUCCUACGGGAGGCAGCAGUGGGGAAUAUUGGACAAUGGGCGAAAGCCUGAUCCAGCAAUGCCGCGUGAGUGAUGAAGGCCUUAGGGUUGUAAAGCUCUUUUACCCGAGAUGAAAAUGACAGUACCGGGAGAAUAAGCUCCGGCUAACUCCGUG
rnacentral:rRNA from 1 species